UUAGCUGAAGCCUCAAGUCCCAUUACACUUAUAUGCGUUUUUAUGUUUUAGGACUCACCAGCGUAGAGUGCGGAGCUCCAGGAGAUGCGAACUAAACUGAGUCCAAGACAGACAUAAAAUAUAUUCUUCUUGGGACUAAUUGGUGGGUUACAGUCACUGUAUACGAUUCAUACAUGUACCUUAUCUGGAUUAUGUGCAAAUCUGUCUGGUUAACACAGCCUAUGGGACACCAUUUAUAUCAUAUAUACAUUUGACGCCAAGAAAAAAUAUGUUUCCUCAUAUCUCAAAUCCAUUUCUCUGCUUCACUCAUAUACGUGAUCUAAAUUCCUUUUUUCAAUUUUUUUUAUACAUUCCAAAAAAUAAAAAAUAGUUGGUGUGAUUGCCACCGUCAUAUCAGUUUAUGGGGUAACAAGAGAUUGGCAAGGUAAUCCAUGCGCCCCUGUAGCCUACUUGUGGCAUGGUCUGAAUUGUUCUUAUCCCAUAAAUGACUCCCCAAGAAUCACAACAUUGAAUUUAUCUUCAAAUGGAUUGUCAGGAAAGAUAGACCCUUCAAUUUCAAAGCUCAUCAUGUUGGAGAAGUUGCGAGUGUUUUUUUUCCACCUGAUCCAAUAGAUUAUAACUGAUGAGACCAGAAAAAGCCUCUUACGUUAAAUCUUUAUAUUCUUUCUGCUAUGUACUUGUGUGUCAAUAGUCUUUUGCUACUUGCUUUAAGAUAUAAAAUACAUAAAAGGGGCAAGUUAAUUGUUUUGCAGGGAUUUAUCAAACAAUAGCUUAAACGGUAAAGUUCCUGAUUUUCUGUCUCAAUUACAGUACUUGAAGAUCUUGUAAGUUAAUUCGUCAUUUAAUUGGAAGAACUAUAUAUGUGAUCCUCUGCAACAGAAAAAGAAAAGGAUACUAUAGUUUCGGUGUUUUGCAGAAACUUGGAGAAGAAUAACCUCUCCGGUUCAAUUACCUCUGCACUUGUUGACAAAUCAAAGGAAGGUUCCCUCUCAGUAAGGAAAAUUGAGAAGACAGAUUUCCACAGCCAUAGCUGUGGUUUUGGAGCUAUAGCUGUGGAAAUCUGGGGAGAAAUUUUGAAGACCAGAAACUUGCAGCUAUAGCUGUGGUUCUGCAGCUAUAGCUGUGGAAAUCUGGAAUGCUCAUUUUUGGUUCCAGAGACUUGAAGCUAUAGCUGUGAAUCUGGAGCUCGAGCUGUGGAAAUCUGGGAAGGAUAUAGAGGUCUAGAAAGUUGGAGCUAUAGCUGUGGAUCUGCAGCUAUAGCUGUGGAAAUCUGAAAUGCAAUUUGAAGCUCCAGAGAGUUGAAGCUAAAGCUUUGGAUUUCCAGCUAAAGCCAUGGAAGCACCCAGGACCCAACACCAACUCCAGAGACUCACAGCCAUAGCUGUGGCUGCACCGCUUGAGCGUUGGAAGUUCCUUAAGAUUGAAGGAGUUGUCACAGCUAUAGCUGUGAACCCACAGCUGCAACCUUGGAGGUUUCUUUACCCUGAAGGACUCUCCACAGCUAUAGCCGUGGAUCUGCAGCUGCAGUCGUGGAAAUAAAAGUUACUUUUUGGUCUUGUUUUGAAGCCAAUAUAAGGGGGAAAAACAGGAGACAUAUGGAGCACGAAUUUAACAGAUAAAAAUAGGGGAAAAGCUUGUGAAGAAGGAAGAACGAAGGAAGAACAGAGACUUGGAAGCUGGAUCCUUUGGGAACGAAGAUCAACUCCAUUUCUUCAUCCUUU